rnacentral:lncRNA from 1 species
GUACUGGAUGUUAGGACGUCAACCUAUCUUAACAGGAUUCCAAGCCUCAUCAAGGGUCAAGGCUGGAAACAGGGAGUCCAGCUGAGAAGGAAUGGCAGCAAUCAGGACCCAGGCUGCCGAUCCGACUGGACUUCACCAUGGACACUCCAUCCCCCAUCCCACUUGGUGUUUUCUUUGUAACGAUAAGUACAAUGGCAAUUAUCACUGCAACCAGAGCCCUCACUACUUGUGCCUAUCACCCCAUCCCAAUUUAGAUAAGGAGGCCCAAGGCAAAUCAGAGCACAUUCCCACUGUUGCUGGAUAUAGUCCACCCCUCCUUCCCUCCCUCCGCCCCCUCCCCCCUUCCUUGCUUCCAAAUAACAGACUUGGAACAAGAUGGCAGCCUCACAGAAGUGGGUCAUGGGGAUUGUGUCACACAGCAAGCACAAGGUCAGCUUUGGCUUCUGCUCGCUGA